GACGAACGCUGGCGGCAGGCUUAACACAUGCAAGUCGAACGCUCGUAGCAAUACGGGAGUGGCGGACGGGUGAGUAACGCGUGGGAACGUGCCCUGAGGUACGGAAUAACUGAGGGAAACUUCAGCUAAUACCGUAUGAGCCCCGAGAGGGGGAAAGAUUUAUCGCCUUGGGGAGCGGCCCGCGUCGGAUUAGCUAGUUGGUGGGGUAACGGCCUACCAAGGCUUCGAUCCGUAGCUGGUCUGAGAGGACGAUCAGCCACACUGGGACUGAGACACGGCCCAGACUCCUACGGGAGGCAGCAGUGGGGAAUCUUGCGCAAUGGGGGCAACCCUGACGCAGCCAUGCCGCGUGAACGAUGAAGGCCUUAGGGUUGUAAAGUUCUUUUACCCGUGACGAUGAUGACGGUAACGGGGAAUAAGGCUCCGGCUAACUUCGUGCCAGCAGCCGCGGUAAU
rnacentral:rRNA from 1 species